CGGGGUGAGUAAUGUCUGGGAAACUGCCUGAUGGCGGGGGAUAACUACUGGAAACGGUAGCUAAUACCGCAUAACGUCGCAAGACCAAAGAGGGGGACCUUAGGGCCUCUUGCCAUCGGAUGUGCCCAGAUGGGAUUAGCUAGUAGGUGGGGUAAUGGCUCACCUAGGCGACGAUCCCUAGCUGGUCUGAGAGGAUGACCAGCCACACUGGAACUGAGACACGGUCCAG
rnacentral:rRNA from 1 species